UAGGGAAUCUUCCGCAAUGGACGCAAGUCUGACGGAGCAACGCCGCGUGAGUGAAGAAGGAUUUCGGUUCGUAAAACUCUGUUGUUAGAGAAGAACAGCGCAUAGAGUAACUGUUAUGCGUGUGACGGUAUCUAACCAGAAAGCCACGGCUAACUACGCCAGCAGCCGCGGUAAUACGUAGGUGGCAAGCGUUGUCCGGAUUUAUUGGGCGUAAAGCGAGCGCAGGCGGUUAGAUAAGUCUGAAGUUAAAGGCAGUGGCUCAACCAUUGUAGGCUUUGGAAACUGUUUAACUUGAGUGCAGAAGGGGAGAGUGGAAUUCCAUGUGUAGCGGUGAAAUGCGUAGAUAUAUGGAGGAACACCGGUGGCGAAAGCGGCUCUCUGGUCUGUAACUGACGCUGAGGCUCGAAAGCGUGGGGAGCGAACAGG
rnacentral:rRNA from 1 species